ensembl:lncRNA
AGGGUGUGUAACUUUAGAUAAAUUUAUUUUUUAAUAAACAGCAAUAGUAGUUUUUUAUUACCCCACUUAAAGAAUAAAGGGACAAUAAUUGUUUUAAAAACAGUGUCUUUAAAGGUAAAAAUGAUCCUGACAUUCAUGUCUAGUAGGCAAGUAUCAUCCCUCUGUAAAGUGUGGACCCUAAUCUGUGACGCUUGUGAGGACUUAGACACAAGACAGCUCUGACAUCACUCACGGUGACGUAUUGUGACCUUUCCCAUCACCCCUCCUAUUCGGGACUCUGAGAGACACGUUUAGUAAAUGUGAGGUCGGGGGUCACCUUCCCUCGCUGGUUGGCACUUUCAACAGUCUCAGAGUCCCCUAAAAAAGAGAGACCUUCUUUUGUUUGCUCCUCUGAUUCAGGCAGUGUGAAAAAGCAAAAGCGUGUAAAAUCAGUCCCGAAGUCGGGGGAGGACCUCAUCAGCAGUGUCUUUUUCAGUGCCUGACCAAAAGUAAAACCUUUGUCUCCUCUGAUCCCCCACAAAAAACACAGGACCUAACGAUCAGAUGGUGAAGACACCUCAGGAGGACAUGUAUGUCUCAGUUGCUGAGAUAAGGUUAAAGCUCUCAAUGGGAACGGAUGGGGUUGAAAUUGAACAGGAAAAGGAAAUGCAGAGGAUGAGGUAUGACUUCAGGGAGAAACAUCUGAGGAAGAGUUGAUACUUAAUGAAGCUUAACUGAGAAGUGAAGUCCUUGAAGAAUGAAAGUGUAGCAAUGAAACUUUCCUCCGGGGUCUUACCACGUCAGAACGAGAUUCCUGAUAAACCCUCAUUUUGCAGCAGAGCGGAAGCUUCCGGUACAGGAUCAACAGCAGCACCACGAUCAUGAAGAAAAACACCAGACAACCCACUGAAGAAGACAACAGCAAUACACAGCAGUCAGAUCUGUCACCUCUAGAUCUUAAAAUGUAGGCACAAUUUAUAUUGCAGAACAAAACUAAUUUCAUUUCAUAAAGCAUACUUUCAUAGGAAUACUUAGAUCUUAGCAAACAUAAUUUAUGCAUAAUUAUGUUUAAUGUUUCAUUUCAUAAUUAAGUCUUUUUUAAUCCCUUAAAUGUCGCCGUCCCACCUGUGGGACGCUUGGCGCUCUUUUUUGUUGUCCUUUUUCUCUAUAAAAUCUUUUGGUAAUCAUCAUAAAUUAUAUAUCAUUUGAAAGCUUAGAAGCCCAAGAUUCAUCCUGUGAAAACCAUUUUGAAAUCGAACAUUGCAUUACCAUGGAAAUGGUACUUUAAAAUCUUAUGGCCGUCUCCUCCCCCUUAGUGAGCGGUGUCAAGUGUCAUAUUACAAAAUGCAUUACGGUCUUUUAGAAUCAAAACUUUUUAUAAUCUAGGCAACAAACAUAUCCAUGGAAAGGUCUGGGUCUCAGGAAUCCAUAUUUGGUGGUUAUUUUGAGUAUUGAAGUAAAAUUGACAGAGAAAUCUAGGGGAAAGUUUAUUAAACAAAAUUCUAAGGAGUUUUGAUGGCUCCCGGUGGCUGUUUGUGGUAUGACGCCCUAAAUAAAAUCUCACAGGAACCUCA